CUUCGAUUCUGACCCGAAUCAUUGUUCGCCAUCUUCUCACAUCGAGUACAUCGUCGGAGUGUCGCUCUCUGCUUGAUCACCUUGUGGAAAAAUAAUCAGUUCAGAAACCUUCUAAAUAAGAGGUUUACAGUGCUUAAACUAAUUUUAUCAUCCUAUUUGUGCAUUUUUUUAAUCCAGUAAAUAACCAAAAUGUCUGAAACCGAGAAGAAAGCUGAGCAAUCCACCGGUGAAUCCGAAGCGCCAAAGCCUGAUGCUGAGCAUCAGCGCAAGAUCAACGUUGCUAACCUGCCGUAUGAUGUGACCGAGAAGGAGCUGCGCGAUUUGUUCACCGGCCAUGAGGUCGAGAAGGUGGAAAUCUAUCACUAUCGCAAGUACACGCUGGCUCUAGUCCUGUUCAAAGACAAGGACACAGCCGCCGCAGCUCUGGCUGAGAAGGAGAAGGCCACUCUCCGUGAUCGCAGGCAUAAUGACACAUGGAAUUUACCACCAUCCAUAUAAACGUGAGGCCAUUAAUACAGCACGUUGAAGAUGAGAACACGACCGAGGAGCAGUUGUGGGACAAGGUUAAGGAAGCUGGUGUGGAACCGACUUCUGUGCUGAUCUUCCACCCGUUGGGCUAUGUUACCUGCGAGAAGGACUGCGAUAAGCCCGCUUUGCUCGAAAAAUUGAAGGCUGCUGGAUUUAACGCCCACGACUUGAACCAGCGCGAUCAAAAUCAGCAUUUGGACAUCUGGCGUGCGGCUAAACUAUUCUUCCGCAAUCGCAAUCGCGUCCAGUUGCUGAACAUCCCCAACAAGUGGAUCGAAGAUAAGGAGGAGAUGAAAAAGCAAUGCGCUGAAGGUGGUACCAUUACCGAGGCUGUUUCGAACAAUGUUACCCAAAAUCCUCAGGUGGCUUCCAACUAUGCCCGUAUCUUCUACGAGACUGAAGAACAAGCCGCCAAAGGCUGCUAAGGCUUUGAAUGGACGCGUUGUUGAAAGGCAAGCGCAUUCAUGCUCCACACCUGGGGAUCUGCUUUGACAAACUACCAGACUUCAAUUCUAUGUUACGUCCUUGGACAAAGGGCGUCACAGAAGAACAGGUGUAUGACCACUUCAAGCAGUUCAGGAGAAAUCGAUUUCACCAAUCGUCGCAAACUGUAUGGCGAUGCUGCUAUCAUCUGUUUCAAGAAUGCUGCCUCGCGAGAGAAGGCUCUUGCAUGCACCACCUUCCGGCAACUCCUGCUCGAAGAAAAAGAAGGAUGCCACCAAAGAGGUAACCGUCAAAAAAUACGAUGGACCUCAUUUGUAUUGCGUCCAGUUGCUCUGAAGCGUAAGCUGAAGACUGGAGAUGAAGAAAAGGAUCAGGAGGAAAGAGGAACUAAAGGAACAGCAGAGUGUGCUUCAGCAAACUAAAAGCCUACUAUCCUAUCUUUGUUGGAAAUGCACCCAUUGGAAUCUGUCCAACCGCUGGAGCUGGAAGCAAUACUUUGCGCAGCACGGAUAAUCAAAUUCAUGUUCUCUCCGCAAAUUUUGGCUUUAUCGUAACAGUGCACCGCACCCCGUAAAACAUUUAUCCAUUUACUACAUGAAUCGUCCAAGCCAGCAGAAUGCUGUUCGUUUUUCUUUGAUCACAAGUUCUUCAAGCAGGACACCGUCUGCAUCAUACUUCCGCUGCGUGGAACGCAGAACCUGGACGUUAAGAAUACUAUUAAGCUUACUAAGAUUCCAUUCAUGUCCGAGGAUGCGUUGUUCAAGAAGAUCAAGCCGUUCGUCGGAAAGAUCAACCGUAUUGUGAAGAAGUCCCGGAUGGCCGCCUACAUUGAGCUGGAGGGAUCCAGCAGAUGUGACGAAGAUGAUGGACGUUGAAACCGCUGAUCAUCCUCUUCCAAAGGGUAAGAUGGAACAACUCAAAACCCCAGUGAGUGCUCGUCUCUACAAUGAAGACGAUACCCGAGUGCUUAACGGCAUUGCUAAAAUUGUCGCCAAGAACCCAGACAUGCUCAAGAGGAACGUUCAGCCACCCAACAAGCGGGGCCGAUUUGACUUCGACCCAGGUUUUGAUCAAGGAUUCAAUCCCAAUAACAAUAUGAACAAUCCCAAUGCUAUCCAAGAUUUGUUGCGCCUUGCGUUCAUGUCUGGCAAGAACGUUGGCGAGACUCUUGCUUCCAAUCAGAACUCUUUCGGACCCGAUCCACCAGUCUCCAACAACUUUGGCGACGGUGGUUUCGGUAACCGUAACCGCAAUAACCAAGGCGGUAACCAAGGCAACUUCCGUGGCCAAGGAAGGGCGAACAUGAACCAGAAUCAGAACCGUGGCAACAAUGCCAACAAUUUCGGUGGCAACACUAAUGCCGGUGGUAACAACUUCCAAAAUUCCCCCGGAAAUCAAAACCGUGGUGGACAGAACAUAAAUCGUGGUAAUAACCAGCAGAACCCGAACCGUGGUGGUGGUAACAUGAACCAGGGCAACAAUAUGAAUCAAGGCGGAAAUGUUAAUCGCCAGCAACAAAAUAAGCCAAACAACAUGAAUACCGGUAAUAACCAAAAUCAAAAUAGAAACAACCAGGUUGGUGGCGGCAAUUUGAACCGCAACCAAAAUCAAAAUAAUCGCAACAACUUCGAUAAUGACAAUUCCUUUGGCGGAGGAAACAGCUUUGGCAACAACCGCAACAACAAUUUUUCCAAUGACAGUUUUGGUAGCAACGAUAAUAACUUUGGUAACAAUAGUGGUAACUUCUCUAGUGACAACUUCGGUGGUAAUAAUAACAGCCGUGGUACCAACUUCGGUGGUAACAAGCGCAACCAGAACGAUAGCUUUAACUCGUUCGGUGGCGGAAACAAUAAUAGUGGCACCAGUGGUGGUAACAACCGUUUCAAUAAUGAUGGUAGUAAUUUCAAUAGCAAUUUUAACAACCGCAACCAAAACAAUCGUUUUGACAACGACGAUAACAGCUUUUCUGGUAACAAGGGCGGUAACAAUUUCGGCAACCGUCAGAACAAACCUUUCAACAACAACCAGGGUGGCAACCAGGGAGGCGGCAUGUCCUUUGGUGAAUUUAAUAACUCGAAUUCCAACAACCGAGGAGGUAACUUCGGUGGAAACAAUUCCGGCGGUUUCAAUUCCGGUAAUACCGGUGGAAACAAAUGGAAUAACAAUUCCCAGCAAUCCAAUACUGGAAGCCGCCUCGCUGGUAGCAUUUUUAGCCGACGAUUCUAAACAGCUAAAACCAAGAAAAGUUCUUUUACAAGAAAUUUUGUCUCUUGUAUAGUAAAAUCAUUAGCUUCCCUUCGUCCCCGCCGAUGGCAGGGAUGGCAGAAAUCUGUCUGGGAAGCGUACUCUCUAGGUUUAGGCAGAACAAAAUAAUGUAAAUUAAUUUUAAGUCAAUCACACAUUUCUCAAACCAGAAAUAUACUUUAACAGUGAGACAAACGAAAAUUAACAAAAUUUUGUCGUUCUUUUACGUCAUUUGACCACUUGAUAAAAAUACACAAAUUAAAUUCUAACUUUAAACAGAAAUAUCCAGUUACUCUUUAUAAAGCAAUUGAAUGUUCAAUGAAGAGAUAGUAAUCUAGAAAUACCACUGAAAUAUAAUUCGUCAGGUUUGAUGCAACCCUGGCAUCCACACAGAAAGUAUUUAUUUUAUUUUAGAAUGAUGCAAAAAAUCAUAGAAAUGAACAUCGUGAGCUGAGAAGUAUUUUUUGUUCCAUUUGUUAUUGGAAAGAAAGACAGAGAUUAAAAGUAGCGAGACACAAGUUUUAAUUUCAUUCAAAAAAUAAAUUAUGUAACUUCACUAACACAAGUAGAGCAGUGUUCGUUGUUGUAUUGGCAGCAGUUUUGCAGCAACAAUUGAGAAAAGGAAAUAAGCAAUUAAGUACUCCUUAAAUGCAACUAAUUGAUACGCUGGCAUACAUCUUACCCCGAAGUUAGGCAAACGUAGCCCUCACAUAUUCACUUAGAUGAAUAAUAUUCUAACAUGUAGAUCGUCUCGCAUUUCUGUGCGCAGGCUAUAUAUUAUUGUAAGAACAUAAUUUUAGUGUAAAACUGAAAUAAAAUGUGCAACAUCUGAAGUAAAAUGGAAA